UACCAGGACGAGAAAAGGGGCGCUGGAGAGGAAGUCAGGUGUCGCUCAGCCGGAAAAAAGCACAAUUUAGUCUCUAUUAAAGGUUCUUUACAACAGAACAAGGAUGUCUAAAGGACCAGCAGUUGGCAUUGAUCUUGGCACCACAUACUCCUGUGUGGGCAUCUUCCAGCAUGGCAAAGUGGAGAUCAUUGCCAAUGAUCAAGGAAACAGGACCACGCCCAGCUAUGUGGCGUUCACAGACACAGAGAGACUGAUUGGAGACGCAGCCAAGAACCAAGUGGCCAUGAACCCAACUAAUACUGUGUUUGAUGCUAAGCGUUUGAUUGGUCGUAAAUUUGAUGAUACUGUGGUGCAGGCCGACAUGAAGCAUUGGCCCUUUAAGGUUGUAAAUGACUCAUCCAAACCUAAAGUGGAGGUUGAAUACAAGGGGGAGAUCAAGACCUUCUUCCCAGAGGAGAUUUCCUCGAUGGUCCUUACCAAGAUGAAGGAGAUCUCAGAAGCCUAUCUUGGCAAGUCUGUGAACAAUGCUGUCGUCACAGUUCCUGCUUACUUCAACGACUCCCAACGUCAAGCAACCAAAGAUGCUGGGGCCAUCUCAGGGCUCAAUGUUCUGCGUAUCAUCAAUGAACCCACUGCUGCCGCCAUUGCUUAUGGCUUGGACAAAAAGGUUGGCAGUGAGCGCAACGUCCUUAUCUUUGACCUCGGAGGAGGCACUUUCGAUGUGUCCAUCUUGACCAUUGAGGAUGGCAUCUUCGAGGUCAAGUCCACUGCUGGCGACACGCACUUGGGUGGUGAGGACUUUGACAACAGGAUGGUCAAUCACUUCAUUAAUGAGUUUAAGCGCAAGUUCAAAAAAGACAUCAACACCAACAAACGAGCCGUACGUCGUCUCCGUACCGCCUGCGAGCGCGCAAAGCGCACCCUCUCCAGCAGCACCCAGGCCAGUAUUGAGAUCGAUUCUCUCUACGAAGGAACCGACUUCUACACUUCUGUCACCAGAGCCCGUUUUGAGGAACUCAAUGCAGAUUUGUUCCGCGGAACCCUGGAGCCUGUUGAAAAGGCUCUCAGGGAUGCAAAGAUGGACAAGUCCCAGAUUCACGAUAUUGUCCUAGUGGGUGGUUCCACACGUAUCCCCAAGAUUCAGAAACUCCUGCAGGACUUCUUUAAUGGCCGUGACCUCAAUAAGAGCAUCAACCCCGACGAGGCAGUGGCCUAUGGAGCAGCUGUGCAGGCAGCCAUCUUAGCUGGUGAUAAGUCUGAGAACGUACAGGACCUGCUCCUGCUGGAUGUCACCCCCCUGUCCCUGGGAAUUGAGACUGCUGGAGGAGUAAUGACCGUUCUUAUCAAAAGGAACACCACCAUUCCCACAAAGCAAACCCAGACCUUUACCACCUACUCCGACAACCAGCCUGGUGUGCUCAUUCAGGUUUAUGAAGGCGAACGAGCCAUGACCAAGGAUAAUAAUAUCCUGGGAAAGUUUGAGUUGACCGGUAUUCCACCUGCUCCCAGGGGAGUCCCGCAGAUUGAGGUGACCUUUGACAUUGAUGCCAAUGGCAUUCUUAAUGUGUCUGCCGUGGACAAGAGCACGGGAAAAGAGAACAAGAUCACCAUUACCAACGAUAAAGGACGAUUGAGCAAAGAAGACAUUGAGCGCAUGGUGCAUGAAGCUGAGCAGUUCAAGGCUGAAGAUGAAGUGCAAAGGGAAAAAGUCACAGCUAAGAACUCCCUUGAGUCUCUGGCUUUCAACUUGAAGAGCACAGUCGAGGACGAGAAGCUUCGAGACAAGAUCAGCGCUGAGGACAAAAAGACCAUCAUCGACAAGUGCAAUGAGGUUAUUUCCUGGUUGGACAAGAACCAGACGGCAGAGAAAGAAGAGUAUGAUCACCAGCAGAAGGAACUAGAAAAGGUGUGCAACCCAAUAAUGUCCAAGCUUUACCAAGGGGGCAUGCCUGAAGGAAUGGCCGGAGGGAUGCCAGGUGGGAUGCCUGGUGGUUUUCCUGGUGGAGCUGGAGAAGGUUCUUCGUCUGGCCCAACCAUCGAGGAAGUGGACUAAUCGCCCACUGACCAAACGUUGCAAUUCCAAAGCCUGACAUUACAUUUUUUCUAAAGGCUACUUCAUCAUUAAAAAAGCUGAACAUGAAAACCACAUAUCUUCAAAGUUUUAUUGGACAGCAUUUGAAGAUUCAUUAAUGGGAAUAAAAUAGUACUUGAAAAUGUUUGUUCAGAGGAGGAUAAAUCCAAUCAAAAAUGGGAACUCACAAACAAAAUUUAUUGUCUUAAUUAUCCACAGUUGAGUUACAAAAAGUUAUAUUUCCUCAAUUAAA